rnacentral:tRNA from 1 species
GGCCUCGUAGCUCAGAUGGCUAGAGCAUUGGUUGAACUCAAGCUGGCGUAGGUUCGAAUCCCGAUGAGGCCA